rnacentral:rRNA from 1 species
ACAAUGGGCGCAAGCCUGAUCCAGCCAUACCGCGUGGGUGAAGAAGGCCUUCGGGUUGUAAAGCCCUUUUGUUGGGAAAGAAAAGCAGCUGGUUAAUACCCGGUUGUUCUGACGGUACCCAAAGAAUAAGCACCGGCUAACUUC